rnacentral:lncRNA from 1 species
AAGGUAAAAAAGGAAGAGGAUCUCCCGAUGGGAGUGGGAAUUCCACUUCACACUCAAAAAAUGAGCGGACCCACGGAAUGACUCCACUCCCCUCCUUAAAUAAGUAAGUAAACAUUUGAGUGGAAAGAAUCCACACUUUUCAUUCCCACUCUAGCAAGUAAGCACAACAUAAGUAUUUUGCAAGAUCACUUGAGUUGUACCCUCAGCUCAUCUAAGCUAUUCUUGAGCUUACAUCAACUCCCCAUAUCAACUCCUUAUAUUUUACUCAUGCAAACUCCACUGAGCUCUCCAUAUUGUUCUCCAUAUGACCACCUUAACUCACCACGCAAAUCACUUUAAGUCAUCACCUAGUGUGCAUUACCCAAACUUAGCGCAAACUCCCCUGAAAUAUUAAUUUACUUCUUUGGAUUGGAUUUAAGCUGGAUCCUGCGAGAACUACCCAAUCAGUUCGAAUUUGGAUUCUAGAAAAAAUUUGGUGAAAAUAAUUUACAUAAGCUCAUCUUGAUAUAUCUCAAAGCCCAACUAAAUGUGUUAUAUGGAUUGUGUAGUCAUUGAUAUAGGACAUUAUUAGUGUGUUUUCAUCCUAUUAUAAAUAGGAGAUCUUAAAUUUAUCUUUCUGUUACUUUGAUGGGUUUGUUAUCAUUAGAGAUGGCGAUGUACACUGCCCGUAGUGGGUUUGUCAUUACUAAAUCCGCACCCGCAUAAAAUUUAAAUUACCAAACCCACGCGCAACCUGUCGUGGGUUUAAUUUUUUUUAAAAAAACCUACCCGCUACGGGUUUUGACAAUUACCAAAUCCGCAAUGGUAUCCGUCAGAAUUUUUGCGGGUUUUCACAUUUAAAUUCAUAAAUGUUUAAUAUAUAAAUUUAUAAUAAUAACCUAAAUUUCCACACAACAUACUCUAUUAUAAAUUUAACCAAUGUAAAUGAAAAAUUAAAAUUUCAACAUCAAUCCAACACAAAUUUUUAAAUUUAAGUAGAAAAUAUACAAAUCCAUUAAAAAAUCCACAAACUAGUAUCUAAGAAUGACAAUUAUCGUUUCAUAUUAUCAUUAACCACAAGCUCCAAAAGAAGAUCUUCAUUUCAUUAUCACCAUUAGCACCUAUCCAACACGAGUUCUACAAUAAUGAUUAUGAUUAAUAUUUUCUAAAGAAUAACAAUUUUUAAAUAUUAAUCCAAAGAACCAAAUUGUAAUAAUGAAAUAAUCAAUGUAUUAAGUUAAAGA